CUACGGGCGGCUGCAGUGAGGAAUAUUGCACAAUGGGGGGAACCCUAAUGCAGCAACGCCGCGUGGAGGAUGACGCAUUUCGGUGUGUAAACUCCUUUUAUAAGUCGAGAAAAUGACGGUAGCAUAUGAAUAAGCACCGGCUAACUCCGUGCCAGCAGCCGCGGUAAUACGGAGGGUGCAAGCGUUACUCGGAAUCACUGGGCGUAAAGGACGCGUAGGCGGGUUGGAAAGUCAGGUGUGAAAUCCUACAGCUUAACUGUAGAACUGCACUUGAAACUUCUAAUCUAGAGUAUGGGAGGGGGAGAUGGAAUUAGUGGUGUAGGGGUAAAAUCCGUAGAUAUCACUAGGAAUACCUAAAGCGAAGGCGAUCUCCUGGAACAUUACUGACGCUAAGGCGUGAAAGCGUGGGGAGCAAACAGGAUUAGAUACCCCAGUAGUC
rnacentral:rRNA from 1 species